rnacentral:pre_miRNA from 1 species
CAUGUACUCCCUCCAUCCGAAAAUACUUGUCAUUGAAAUGGAUGUAUCUAGAUGUAUUUUAGUUCUAGACACAUCCAUUUUGAUGACAAGUAAUUCCGAACAGAGGGAGUACUUG